UCAUAUAAGAGGUAAAUGAGCUCUAAGAGAUUCUCUCGGUUUACUUGAAGGGCCACUUUGGCCGUCCUCUCCAUGACUUUUCAAGUUUUUAACUUAAGUGAGUUUUGAGUAGUUUUCGGGACGGACGCCACUUCCAUCCUCCCC
ensembl:ncRNA F46F3.22 ncRNA